CAUACUUUCCCCAAUGUCUGAAGUGGAGUUCAAAUUGUUUCAGGGGCUCAUGGUGUGCUCAGGCACAUCUCCUCUGAAUCAGGACCAAAUGCACUCCACCAGUUCUCAAGCAGGCUUCACAGCUACCACUGCAGAACCACAGGUCUUCCAAACUGCUGUCUGGACCAAGGGGACUUCUGAUCUGUCCUUCAGAACCAGGGGAGCUCAGACCCUCCCCAAUGGCCCAGGUAGCCCCAGUCUUAUCUGUCUAGAAACAAGGUAACUCACAACUUUCCCCAGUAACUCAGGGGAUUUUGGGUUUACCUCGUCAACAUCAAAAGCUUCAGCCAUUCCCCAGUGUUCAGGGGACAUUGACACAUCUUUCCUUUGAGAAGCAGAGGACAUCAGACAUUUACUAAUUGACAAGAGACAUUGACACACCUUUCCUUUGAGAACCAGAGGACCUCAGACAAUCAUUAAUUGACAAAUGGGCCUCAUACUUACCACUUCAGAACAAGGGUGUCAAACACAUUCUCAAUGACUGAAGGGGACCUUAGAUAUAUAACUUGAGAAGCAAGUGGCCACAGACCUCUUUAGUGUCCCAAGAGGGACACAAAUACAACCCCUAUAAAAUCAAUGUGCCAUAGAAUUUAUGCAAAGUCACAAUGGGGCUUCAGAAUUAUCCUUCCAGAACCAGGAGGAUUCAUACCUCCAGAUAAUAACUCCAUCGAGUAUUAGAUAUGCCCCCGGAGAAGAAACUAUCUCACUAAUUCAGGAGACUUACUUCUCACUGGAACAUCUUCUGAAGAGGGCCAUAGACUUAUUUCCUCCAACCAUAGAAGUCCCUGACUUUCAAGAUAUGCAAAAGCAGGGCUGCUGUAACACACCCUCUUUGAACAAGAAAACUUUAGACUUUGUCUGUCUGUACUGGAGGGGUCUGAGACAUGCCCCUUCGAUGAAGAAAGUUACAGAGCUGGCCCUGUCUCAAAUAUUUUCACUGCUGACAGGUACUUGAAACUGAGACCCCAUUACCAAGAAAACACAGGAGCUUCUCCUUGUGUUCCUGGCUGACUCUGGUCUACCAGACAUCUAAGAGAGACUAGAGCUUCUCUCUCAGACCUGAGUGACUAGGAAAUACACUCUUGACCACCAAAGGAACCUCAUGGAACGCUAGACUGAAAUCACAUGACAGAAGAAUAAAAACCUCACCCUGGACCCAAGGCCAUCUAUUUUCAAGCUGCUCACCAGAAAGAUGACUGUCUUCCACAUCCACACCUGUGCAGCUUAUCGUGAGUUUAAGUAGAGAACAGCCCCACCUGUCAGAAGAACCCUCUGGUUGCUGUCAAGCCUCAACAAGUCCUCAGAGAUAAGGAUUUUUCUAGAGUUCACUGAAGAUUUGGAGACUGACUAGGAGUGUCUAGACCCUCCUCCUCUAGAAAAGAUUCAGCUAAAGAUAUGAACAUCCUAACCUGUGGAGAAGAGUUAGAAGGCAAGGCAAUGCUGGCACCUUAUGAGAUUCUCUACAGAAACAGAGCAGUUCCAUCUUUGUUGCCCAUGCCUGUGCUGCUGAUGAAAGGCUUGUGGAGGAUGCAGAGCCAGGGAUUACCAACCAACCUAUAAGAAAAAUGCUCUGAGUGCUGGCAAGCAAGGCUCAGAGUCCAGAACACAAGGGUGUUCUGGAGUAUGAGGACGUUUGGACUUGAUAAGAUCAGGACAGCUGAACACAAACUAGAGGAAACAACCUAGCCAGGGACAGUCCUUCGGGCCCUUGGAAGAAGACAUGGGUUGUUGCUGCCUUGUCUCUCCCAGAAUGAACACAAACUAUGAAGAUACAAAACUCUGAAUAAGAGUUGGAAGCUCAUGAUCAAUGCUGGGAACUUUCUCCACUUCAUACGGUACCUGGGAUAUGCACCUUCAACAGAAGUGUAUAUGGCACCUUCACCCUCUGCCCAAAGGAGAUUCUGUCUUCAUUUUUCAAUGGGCCUCAGAGGAUUUCUCUCUUACAUAGGGCUCAGAGCUUCCACUUUUCCUGUUAUUAUUAUUACUAUUAUUAUUAUUACUAUAUUAUUCCUUCUCAGUAUGUGGAACAGGAUGUCAGAACUCUCCUAAGAUUAAGGUUGUUCUAAACCCCAUUUUCCCAACGGGGCCUAAAACAUUUUUUUUGUGUUACAUGGUCCUUAUAUACAUAUUCCCAUUCCUACCAAGUGGCUCUGAGUCUUUUCUUUUCUCAUUAAAGGGGUGUCAGACCCAAAAGUGCAUUAUACCACUCUGCACAAACAAGAUUCAGACAUUCCUGAUCUUCCCACUAGGUUGUGGGCCAAUUAUAUACCUCUAUCCAGCAAGAGGAUUUCAAACAUCCAGUUUCUGUAAAAGGAGAUCUGGGAAAUCAAGCUCUAUGGAAAGGGCACUCAAAACUGUCCCCCGUAUCCGAGGGAUGUCUCAGACCUCUACCCUCUGCUCUUUGCAACUUUAGGCCCACCCUUAUGUCUAAAGAACCAUCGGAGCUCCCCUUCUUUCCAUGGUGACGUCACACAUACCCCUAUUAACUAAGAUUGCUGUAGAGCUGACCCCUCUGACAGAGAUAGCCAUACGAACACAUGUGUGACCAAUGAGACCUCACAACUUUCUGCUUUUAGAUCAUAGGCAGCAGAUAGAAAGAUGAAAUCAGCUCUCAAGCCAUCUGCCUCAAAAUUGGUUAUCGAAAAUACACUAUUCCUAUCUUGUAUCCACAGAUAUGUUCAGCUCAACACACCUUGAGGAAACACCAAUGCUUGCAUAACCACUUACCCUGUUGGAAAACUGUUAUGAGAUUUGCCUUAGACUCUCAAAGAUUUCACACAGGUCAGUGUAAUAUAUGGAUAAUGGAAGGUGAAAAGAGCAGUUGGAAACACAUGAUGUAAAACCACACCAUUCUCCCACCACCCAAGGUAAGCUAGGCUUUUCCCUUCUGCACAGUGGAGUGACUGGAUCCUGCUAUUUGGUUAAACAUGGCCGAACAUUUUCUGUCUAAGAAAGGCAGUUCAGAAUGACCUCAGAAGUUUCCCCUCUGAAUAUGGGCUCCCCAAACUGUCCUUAUUCUCAAGGCAUCACACAUCAUGCCAUUUUGAUGAAGGAUUAUCAGAACUUUGAUUAAAGUGGUUGUCAGGCCUUUCUGCUAUUACCAUACCCCAGACCUUCCCCCUCCGUCCAAGGACAGACAUAAGAAUGACUGUCUUUUACUAUAGCAAUCUCAGAAUUUCCAUUUUUCCCAAGGGGAUCAGGAUCAAAGGGUCCUCAGAGCACACCCCAUGUGCACGUGGGCCUCCAAAUUAUCCCUCUAAUGGAGGGCCUUAGAUCUUCUCCCUCUAACCAUGACCACUAGGAAAAUACAUGUGUAACUCAAGGGACUUCACUUUGUUCUGCUUUGAGUUGACAGAGCCUGAAACUUAGGUCAUCUGCCUUCAUUCUAGUCACUAAAGUGAAGAGGUCGCAUUCUUCAUGUACACACCAAUAUAGCUGGUGAUAAGAGGACUUAGAGACUGAGAUUGCCAAUCAUGACUGAUAAUAAUGCUCAGAUUGCUGCCAGGCCUGCCACAGUGUGCCUGGAGAUGUGAAUCUUCUACACUGUGAUGGAGUCCUUCCUCCACUGCACAAGCCCGCAAAAGAUAUGGAUACCCGACCUUCCACAUGACCCACAAAAGAUAUGGAUAUUCUAAAUACUGAAAAAAAAAGGUUGGAAGCUGACCAGGCAGUUCCAGGCAUUCCUCUGCUCCACAAGGGGGCCUCGGAUCUUCUCUUUCUGCCCAAGUUGUCUUCAAAUAUACCCUUCUGCCCAAGGAGGGCCUCACGUGGUUCUCUUCUGAUUCAGGGGCCUCGGACAUUCCCCACGCAAACAUGGGGUCCUAGAACAUUUUUUUCUUUCCCAAUGAAUUCUCCAGACCAACUAGUCUUAAAGUAUCAGAGCCCAAGAGUAGCAAGUACAGUCUAGAACCAAAGCCCACUGCCUUAAGGCAGAAAACAAUAUAAUGUGGCCUUCAUCAUUCAUACCUAGACCUGGGCAGCCGAACAUACUCUUGAGAAGGAGAACUAGCUUGAGACUAUCGCGCAGACUUUUGGACAAAAUCUCAGACUGCUGCCUGCCCUGCCACAUGUUCACUACGGUGGACAGAUGUUUGAGUCUCCAAAGAAGAGCUGGAAGCUGAUAAGGCAGUACCUGGAAUGUGCUCCACUGUUUGAGAUUUGAGGUCUCACAGCUCAACACUAGUAAGGAGACCCUGGAACAGUAGUCAUCAAUCUUCAUGGCAUUCAACAGAACAUCAGAAAUGGAGUGGUCCCAACUUUAGUGCCCAGACCUGGAUGGCUGAACACCAACCUGUGAGGCUGGAAAAGCCACAGACACCAGCCACACUCUUGGAACAAUGUUUAGAUUACUGCAUAUCCUCCUGAAGAUGCCACAAAUGAUAUGGUUACUUUGUUGUUGUUGUUUUGAUUGCUCUUGUUCUCUUCUUGGUGGUGUUGCUUUCUUUUAACUUUAGAAGAGGGACAUCUUGAUAUUUUCUUGUUAAGUUAAUCAUCUACUGGCAUUAAAAUCCAGAAACCAAGUGCUUAAACGCUAUCCAUGUUCUACUCUAUUUGGGACUCACAAUGUGUGCAUAUCUUCCAACCUUUUGUUUCAAAGACAUACUGCUAUGUAAUUCUAUUUUACAAAUGUAAUCAUUUUAAUCAAUAUUCACAUGAAUAUAUAUUUUAUGUGCAAAA